UCCGAAAUAGCUCAGUUGGGAGAGCGUUAGACUAUAGAUCGAAAAGUCCUGGUUCGAUCCCGGGUUCCGGCA
rnacentral:tRNA from 1 species